rnacentral:tRNA from 1 species
GCUGGAAUAGCUCAGUUGGUUAGACCGUGUGGCUGUUAACCACAAGGUUGGAGGUUAAGCCCUCCUUCUAACG